rnacentral:rRNA from 1 species
GAUUCUGGCUCAGAAUCAACGCUGGCGGCGUGCCUAACACAUGCAAGUCGAACGAGAAAGGGGAGCAAUCCCUGAGUAAAGUGGCGCACGGGUGGGUAACACGUGACUAACCUACCCUGGAGUGGGGAAUAACUGAGGGAAACCUUAGCUAGUACCGCAUAAUACCCACGGGUCAAAGGAGCAAUUCGCUUCAGGAGGGGGUCGCGGCCGAUUAGUUAGUUGGCGGGUAACGGCCCACCAAGACGAUGAUCGGUAUCCGGCCUGAGAGGGCGCACGGACACACUGGAACUGAAACACGGCCCAGACUCCUACGGGAGGCAGCAGUGGGGAAUUUUGCGCAAUGGGGGGAAACCCUGACGCAGCAACGCCGCGUGGAGGAUGAAGUCCUUCGGGACGUAAACUCCUUUCGAUCGGGACGAUUAUGACGGUACCGGAAGAAGAAGCCCCGGCUAACUUCGUGCCAGCCGCAGC